rnacentral:rRNA from 1 species
CGAUGCCUAAGACAUGCAAGUCGUACGAAGUGAACCUUUGAAGCAGAGUGCUGCACAAGCAGAAGAAGAUUUCACUUAGUGGCGCAAGGGUGAGUAACACGUGGGUAAUCUGCCUCAGAGACUGGAAUAACAAUUGGAAACGAUUGCUAAUGCCGGAUGAUAUAUAAAAGGAUACGUUCUUUUAUAGUAAAAGGAGCCUUUAAAGCUUCACUUUGAGAUGAGCCUGCGGCGCAUUAGCUAGUUGGUGGGGUAAAGGCCUACCAAGGCAACGAUGCGUAGCCGAACUGAGAGGUUGAUCGGCCACAUUGGGACUGAGACACGGCCCAAACUCCUACGGGAGACAGCAGUUAGGAAUAUUCGUCAAUGGGGGAAACCCUGAACGAGCAAUGCCGCGUGAAUGAUGACGGUCCUCUGGAUUGUAAAAUUCUGUUGUUGAGGAAGAACGUCUUGUGUAGGAAAUGACACAGGAGUGACGGUACUCUUCAAGAAAGCUCCGGCUAACUACGUGCCAGCCGCGGC